rnacentral:rRNA from 1 species
UACGUAGGGUGCAAGCGUUAAUCGGAAUUACUGGGCGUAAAGCGCACGUAGUCGGCUUUGCAAGUCGGGUGUGAAAUCCCCGGGCUCAACCUGGGAACUGCAUCCGAGACUGCAUUGCUAGAGUAUGGGAGAGGUGAGUGGAAUUCCUGGUGUAGCGGUGAAAUGCGUAGAUAUCAGGAGGAACACCGGUGGUGUAGACGGCUCACUGGACCGUAACUGACGCUGAGACACGAAAGCGUGGGUAGCAAACAGG